rnacentral:misc_RNA from 1 species
AAACAAUCAUGAAAUAUUUGGUCGAAAGUUCAGGAGACAAUGUACUCCUACAUGAAGUGAGAACCUAGUUGCUGCAGAAAAUUUAAGGUCUAAACAAUCAUAAUUAUUUGCAGCCAUUCAUAUACUUAAACCACUGGAGUUAACAGCGGUUUGUUCAGAAAGUGAGCUUCUAAGUUCCCAAGGACGAGGUCGGCCAUGGCCUUGCGUGUUUCCUCUGUGCCACUGCCUACAUGAGGCAAUAAGACCACAUUCUCAAGGCCAAAAAGCUGCUCUGGUACUUCAGGCUCAUUCUCAAACACAUCA